rnacentral:rRNA from 1 species
AGCAUGCGAGUCGAGAGGGUUCGGCCCUCGGCGAACUGCUCAGUAACACGUGGAUAAUCUGCCCUUAGGUGGAGGAUAACCUCGGGAAACUGAGAAUAAUACUCCAUAGAUCUUUGAGGCUGGAAUGCGCUAAGAUUGAAAGCUUCGGCGCCUAAGGAUGAGUCUGCGGACUAUCAGGUUGUAGUCAGGGCUAAAGACCUGACUAGCCUACGACGGAUACGGGUUGUGAGAGCAAUAACCCGGAGAUGAUAUCUGAGACACGAUAUCAGGCCCUACGGGGCGCAGCAGGCGCGAAAACUUCACAAUGCGCGAAAGCGCGAUGAGGGAAUCCCAAGUGCUUGCACGUAAGUGUAACCUGCUUUCUGUUUAAAAAGCACAGAGAGUANGAGCUGGGUAAGACGGGUGCCAGCCGCCGCGGUAAUACCUGCAGCCUCAAGUGGUGGCCGCUAUUAUUGGGGCCUAAAACGUCCGUGGCCGGCUAAGUAAAUGCCUGCGUAAAUCGGUGCCGCUUUACGGUACGAAUUCCGGGGUUAGACCUGGUUUACCCUUGGGGACCCGGGAACAAAGUUUAGAGGGUACCUUCCCUUGGGGGGUAGGGGGGGGUGGAAAAUU